rnacentral:rRNA from 1 species
UACGUAGGGGGCAAGCGUUGUCCGGAAUCAUUGGGCGUAAAGCGCACGUAGGCGGCCUUGCAAGUCGGAUGUGAAAUCCCUCGGCUCAACCGAGGACGUGCAUUCGAAACUGCUUGGCUCGAGUAUGGAAGAGGGUCGCGGAAUUCCCGGUGUAGAGGUGAAAUUCGUAGAUAUCGGGAGGAACACCAGUGGCGAAGGCGGCGACCUGGGCCAAUACGUGACGCUGAGGUGCGAAAGCGUGGGGAGCAAACAGGG